GAGAAGCACUAUAGUACAGCUACAUUAGAGAGGAGGAGGAGGGAGAACCACUAUAGUACAGCUACAUUAGAGAGGAGGAGGAGGGAGAACCAGUCAAGCAUAGAUACAUUAGAGAGGAGGAGGAUGGAGAACAAGUCUAGUAUAGAUACAUUAGAGAGGAGGAGGAUGGAGAACAAGUCUAGUAUAGAUACAUUAUAGAGAAUAGGAGAAGGGAAAACCAGUAUAGUAUAGAUACAUUAGAGAGGAGGAGGGAGAACCAGUCUAGUAUAGCUACAUUAGAGAGGAGGAGGAGGGAGAACCAGUCUAUUAUAGAUACAUUAGAGAGGAGGAGGGAGGACCAGUCUAGAACAGCUACAUUAACGAGGCGGAGGACGGAGAACCAGUCUAGUACAGCUCCAUUAAAGAGGAGGGAGAACCAGUCUAGUACAGCUACAUCAGAGAGGAGGAGGGAGAACCAGUCUAGUAUAGAUACAUUAGAGAGGAGGAGGAGGCAGAAACAGUGUAGUAUAGAUACAUUAGAGAGGAGGAGGAGGGAGAACAAGUCUAGUAUAGCUACAAUAGAGAGGAGGAGGGAGAA
ensembl:lncRNA